AAGUCGUAACAAGGUUUCCGUAGGUGAACCUGCGGAAGGAUCAUUACAAUACGUUUCCGCACGUAAACCAAACGUUGAACUGUACAAGCGUCCGAUAGGAAGUGGGGUUCAUGGGCCGGCGGCUUUGAGGUGGAUACACCACACAAAUCAAACUUCGGUUUGAAGGUGAUCAAAAGUGCCUCGGUCGGUUCUUUUUUCCGGUGUUGCCCGAGUUUCGCACUCGCAAAAACGGAAAAGCCCUUUUCCUAGUUCGCGUAUUUAUCCAUUCACACUUUUGCAUCGCCUUUUUUUCUUCUAACCCCUUUCACCUUUUACUUCAAAAUUGAUGAACUGAUUUCGAGCUGCUUAACCGCGCUCGAUCAUUUUACGAAACGUAAGAACAACUUUUAACAACGGAUCUCUUGGCUCUC
rnacentral:misc_RNA from 1 species